UACGGAAGGCAGCAGUGGGGAAUAUUGCACAAUGGGCGCAAGCCUGAUGCAGCCAUGCCGCGUGUAUGAAGAAGGCCUUCGGGUUGUAAAGUACUUUCAGCGGGGAGGAAGGCGAUGCGGUUAAUAACCGCGUCGAUUGACGUUACCCGCAGAAGAAGCACCGGCUAACUCCGUGCCAGCAGCCGCGGUAAUACGGAGGGUGCAAGCGUUAAUCGGAAUUACUGGGCGUAAAGCGCACGCAGGCGGUCUGUUAAGUCAGAUGUGAAAUCCCCGGGCUUAACCUGGGAACUGCAUUUUGAAACUGGCAGGCUUGAGUCUUGUAGAGGGGGUAGAAUUCCAGGUGUAGCGGUGAAAUGCGUAGAGAUCUGGAGGAAUACCGGUGGCGAAGGCGGCCCCUGGACAAGACUGACGCUCAGGUGCGAAAGCGUGGGGAGCAAACAGGAUUAGAUACC
rnacentral:rRNA from 1 species